CCGCCGUUGUAGGCGGGCACGCGGGCGUCAUCAAAGCCUGGAGGGGCAAAGGGUGAAGGCACCCCGCAUAACACCUUCCCGACCAGGCUCUGAGAUGCAGGUCCUUGAGAGAUGCAAACAAUACGGCACUCGGAGCAGACACUUAGAGCAGCUCUCAUUUCAAAGAACCCAGUGCUUGUGUCCCAGUAUGAGAAGUUGGGUGCUGCAGAAAGGCGGUUGAUGAAUGAAGCCUUCCGACCAGCCAGUGAUCUCUUUGAACCCAUUACCUUGCAUUCUCAAUCAGAUUGGAUCACCUCCCAUCCUGAGCCUCCCCAAGACUUUGAAGAGUUUUUCAAUGAUCCUUCCAGAAAGACACCCUCUCCAGAGAAACACAGUAUUUAUAUACAGUGUAUCGGAUCUCUAGGAAACACCAGAGUUAUCAGUGAAGAAUAUAUUAAAUGGCUCAAGGGCUACUGUGAAGCAUUUUUCUAUGGCUUGACAGUAAAACUCCUAGAACCGGUUCCUGUCACUGCAACCAAGUGUUCCUUUAGAGUCAAUGAUAACACACAAAACCUACAAAUACAUGCAGGGCACAUCCUGAAGUUCUUAAAAAAGAAGAAACCUGAAGAUGCCUUCUGUAUUGUGGGAAUAACAAUGAUUGACCUUUACCCAAGAAACUCCUGGAAUUUUGUCUUUGGACAGGCCUCUUUGACAGAUGGUGUGGGGAUAUUCAGCUUUGCCAGGUAUGGCAGUGAUUUUUACAGCUCAAGCUAUGAAGGCAAAGCAAAGGCAUUCCAGAAAAAGUCUUCAAGUGACUAUUCGGUUUUUGAUGACUAUUACAUUCCUGCAGUGACUAGCGUUUUGCUGCUUCGGUCCUGUAAGACUUUAACUCACGAGAUUGGACACAUAUUUGGACUUCGACACUGCCAGUGGCUCGCAUGCCUAAUGCAAGGCUCCAACCACUUGGAAGAGGCUGACCGGCGCCCCCUACACCUGUGCCCUAUCUGUUUACGCAAGUUGCAGUGUGCUAUUGGCUUCAACAUUAUAGAAAGAUACAAAGCACUGGUGAGGUGGAUUGACGAUGACUCUGCUGACACACCUCGAGUCACUCCAAAACAUAGUCGCGAGGAUAAUGUGAAUUUGCCAAAACCUGUGGAAGCCUUUAAGGAGUGGAAAGAGUGGAUAAUAAAAUGCCUUGCUGUUGCCCAAAAAUCAGAACCUUCAUAUAGGAGUAAUUAAAAUAAGUACUUGUACCUUAUGCUUUCUUUUGGAUCAAGUACUUCUCUGGAAUAAACUGUUUACUGAUCCUGUCUUGUAUCAAAGUAACAGAAGAGAAGCACCUUCAAAACACUUGAACUUGAAAUGAAGCUCAUUUUGAAUGAUAAAAACUCUAAACGCUUUUGUUUUUUUAGCCUGGUCUGUGAUAGCAAGCACAUCCAUCAUAUCCAUUCUUCAAAUAUGUUUAUUUAUAUGUCUCCUGUGAAGGCUAGGACCAGCAGUAACUAUGCUUACUUGACUGGGGGAGAGAAUGUGAUAGCAUUACCUGUGGCUGUGCCAGGAAGGACCAGGAUGGCCUGAUGAUCAUGGGUUCAUUUUCGUGCUGGGGAACAGGCUAAAAACCUCAGACGGAACAAACUGCUUCUGCUUGAUCAGCGUGUGCCGGUCACGGUGACGAGAUGUUAGGAUGGUCAUCGGACUGGGUGCUAGUGAGCGGAGAGCAUUUCUCCCUUUCCCAUCUUAACCUCAAAGGUGAAACUUAAAGGUAAUUAUUGUUUCAAACUUUGAAACCCAAUUUUUCCUUUGUUAUCCAUGCAGUAUGAUUUAAAGAACAUUUAUAACUGAAUCAGUGAUUUCCCUCACAUCCAGUCCCCUACUUGAUUAAGCCUCUAAGUCAUUUAGGAAAUGAUGGUUUGCCAUUAAAUCAGUUGGGGAGUGAAUGCUUGGUCAUUUUGUAUACUGAGAAGAGAACCCAUGGAGCAUGGACUUCUGUGAAUUCUGUUAUGGGUUCUGUUUCCCCAGUACUGUCUUUUUCCCAAAUAAUGUACUUUUAAUUAUUAUUCAAUCCAUCCAUUUAAAAAUUUAUUUAUUUAUUUUUAGACAGAGGGGAAGGGAGGGAGAAAGAGAAGGAUAGAAACAUCAGUGUGUGGUUGCCUCUCGCACACCCCCUACUGGGAAGCUGGCCCAAAACCCAGCAUGUGUGUUGACUGGGAAUCAAACUAGCCACCCUUUGGUUUGUUGACUGGUGCUCAAUCCACUGGGCCACACCAGCCAGGGCUCCAUCCACUGGUUUUCAUUUUCCUACAAAGUAAGCGCAGGUUUAGUCCUGUAGGUUAGCAUUAGUUAUAACCUAAAAAGUCAAAUUUGGUGAAGUGUAUAAAGUGGGGUCACAAUUACUUGGACAAGAUGUAAUGCCCAUUUGUACCUGCUCUGCAUUGUAAGAUCAGGAAAACAGUCUGCUAUUAAAAAACCAAAUCAUCCAGUUUUGAAACAAAUCAAAAGUGGGACAAACAUAAGUUUUAUGUAACAGGCAUUCACUUAAGUAUUGUGAAUAAGUACUGGGUUGAUGCACUUUUGGGUAAUUUCUUAGGGUUAGGUUUAAAAAUAUAAUUAUUGCAACUAAAUUUUAUGUCCUAUCUUUAUAUCUUUAGAAAAAUGAUUUUUCACUCAGUAACAAGCAGAAAUCCAUGCAGAUUUUGCUCUGCACAUGCUGAAUGAACAAGAGCUUUAAGACUAAAAAGAAUUAAUCAUUUUCUGCUGUCUAAACACUAUUUUAGAAAUAGGUGACUCUGAAGUGCUGUUCACUUUGGUGCCUAUGGGAUUAGUAGUAUCUCUCAGGUCAAGGGAAGGAUUAAGUGUUAACAUUUCAGUCCCCCAAGACUAUUGAUGGGGGGAGGGUUAAAGAGAAGAAUGUGGCAAGGAUUCUACUUAGGUUGUUAUUCAGCGUGUUCUAUUAAGUGCAAGUUCCCCGGACAUGAAUACUUGUAAAUGUCUAACACUUUAGGACCCCAGGGCCUGAGUUGUUACCUCUUUAAAGCAAGCAUGAUAAAAUCUGUGCAGGCAGCUGUGGGACCUCCGGCAGCCCUGCGAGCUGGCCUUUCCUUCUCAGGAAGCAGUAUCACUGCCCCUGGCAGAGAGACCCAGCACAGGAGCUUGAGCCUCAGACCUCAGACUGGCAGCUGCAAGCCAUCACUCCAAGCAAGCCUCCUGCUUCUGUCCCGAGGAAGUCCCUCAGCUCUCCAGAGCCGAGGAUGGUGACUCCGCCUUCCCCAGCGCCAGGUACCCCUGAAGGGACCACCAUCCUGCCAUGCCGCACACAUGUGUUUACCCUCAGUGGGCUAUACCCCGGGGGGAGGCCUUGGAAAAUCUGUGUGCCAGUGCAGCAGAGCAGUAAGUGGAAACACUUCUCAGGGAGAGAGCACGCACACAGUGCUUUCCAAGAGUUAGGUCUUAGUCAGUUCUUUGGUUCUGAUUGAUAGUCUAGAGCAGAAACAUCUAAUGUAAUGAAUAUAAUAUGAGCCACAUACAUAAUUUAAAUUUUUCAAAUGGCCUCAUUAGUAUAUGCUAAAAGAAGCAGGUGAAUAUAUUUUAGUCAUAUAUUUUAUUUAAUCCAAUAUAUCCUAUGCUAUCAUUUCAACAGGUAAUGAAUAUACAAAUUAUUAAGAUAUUUUACAUUCUAUUUUCAUACUAAGUCUUCAAACUCUGGCUGUUUUUUUACCCAUACAGCACAACUCAGUUCCCACUGAGCACAUUUCAGGUGCUCAGCAGCUCCACCUGACUCAUGGCUACUGUACUGGACAACCCCAGCUCUAGAUUAGUACCAUUUUGUAGUCUACAUGGAAGGCAUAUGAAAUUGAAUGAACAGGGGAAAAAAAGCUUUCUAAAGUAAGAGGUUUUGCAGGUCCUCUGGCAGUGCAGUAUGGGUUGAUAUUCAAGUUGCAAGGUGUGAACACUUUUGGAUCUUGCCGUUAACCUCUGCGGCAGGUUGUUUUUACACUUUCUGUUGUCAAGGACCCGGUAUUUCCUUUAAUGUGUUUUCAUUUUUGGAAAUCAAAAUUUUAAAGUAUUAAUAACGUGAGUGUUGCUGAGUCCAUUUCAAAGAGAGGAAACAAGCCCACAGUAGCUAGUAAACUGUGUGCAGCGACACCAGAGGCAGAAACGGGACCAUAUCCCAAGUCUUCCUAAUUUCAUUUUUGCUGUGCUGUAUUUCCACUGCGCUGCAUGACCUCAUAAAAAGUAAAGUAUUACAAGCCAGAAACCUGCCAUAUUUUUACAGAUUGUUUAUAGAAGGGAUUAUAAGAUUAAAGUCUUUUUUCAUUUCUUUUGUCUUCAAGUGAGACCAUCUGGGGUUGAUCAAGGUCAGCAAAAUCAGAGUACUUUGCCUUAGUACCAAGAAAGAGGUUCAGUAUCCAGAACUUGCCAGUAGUUGAGGCAUUAAAAAAAAAAAGUAUAAUGGAAAAAUGUCUACUAGAAAUAGGUUAAGUGAAAACAAAGGCUGCUCCAGCAAAAUGUUAAAAUUCAGAGCCUGCAUUCUCCUUCCACCCUAGUGGUCAUUUCUUCCCACUGUUUAGUCUCUGAUGGAUCUGUGUUUUCUUCCUUACACCUGACCUGCGUAUAGAGGACAUUAUUGCUGGGCACUUUGAGACCCCUCUCAGACAUUGGACCUGUAACAGGCUUUGAGCACAGUGCUUUGUGUCCUGUGCCCAGGCAGUCUAAAUGCUUCAUAGCAGCACCAGCCACUCUUGAGCUAUAAUCAUGAAUAGAUAUCAACUUUUUUCUCUAGCAAAAGUCAGUGAAAAGUAAAGAACUCAUUCAUUCAUUCAACAGUGUUUUGGGAGCAUUGCCUACUAUGUGCCAGGCCUGCUCAACACCUUGGAUAUGCAGCAGUGAACAAAAAACUGGUUUCCUAAUGUGAUUAUUGAAGAGACAGAUUAAUGAAAUAAGUAAACAUAUACGUUUAUAACCUAAUGUCAGAGUAAAGGGUGAGUAGCAACUGGUAUUUCAAAUAGGAUAGUCAGGAAUGCCUCCUCAGGGUGACCUUUGUAGGGGACCAAAUGGAAGUGUCAUGUCAUGUACACAUUAGGGGAAGGGUGCACCAGGCAAAGGGAACCACAAAUGCCAAGGCCUAAUUCUUGUGGUUUCAAGGAGCAAUAGGAAGGCCAGUGCAGCUAGAGUAGCAGUACCAAGGGGGAAUGUAAUAGCCUCCAUCAGGUUGUACAGGAAGAGCCCAUUGUUAAGGAUUGGGUUUUCAAUAUGAUCAUGUCUGACUUGUGCUUUGAAAGGAUAUCAUAAGGCUGCCAUCUGGAAACUAGAGGCCAAGGUGUGGUGGUUGGAUAGAUAGCAAGAGUGGAAGCAGGUAAGCCAGCUAGAAGUUGAUUGCAAUAGUCCAGCUAAAGAUGAUACUGGCUUGGAUCAGGGGUACUGGUCGUUUGACAAAGGCAGUCAGGUCCUGGAUAUGUUUAGGAGGUAGAGCCAACAGGAUUGGUGGAGGAGCAUGUUUGGAGAGCAGGAUCAAGAGUUCUGUGGAGGACUUGUUAUAUUGGAGAUGCCUCGUUGGCAUGGCACCCACCUGCUGUCACAUGGGCGUGUAUCAGUCCAGAGCUCAGUGACACAGUCUGGACUUGGUGUGGGAGUUGACAGUGUGGAGAAGGUACUUAAAGCUUUGACUGCAUUCUGGGGGCAUAAGUUGCGAGGAGAGUUAGUGUGCUUGCUUUUUUUCUUGAGUUGCUGGAGAAGUAUGUAAGUAAUAUAUUGCUAGCUGCAUGGCCAUAGUUUGUAUUAUCUGUCAAUAAUCUUUCAUGAGCUAUAUUUGAAAAUUCACCCUGGCCAGUGUGAUUCACUUGGUUGGAUUGUCGUCCUGUAAACUGAAUGGUUGUGGGUUUGAUUCCCAGUCAGGGCACAUACCCAGGGUGUGGGCUCAGUCUCUCGAGACUGUGUAGGAGAGGCAGCCAAUUGUUUCUCUCUUACAUCCAUGUUUUUCUCCCUCCCUUCCCUUUUCCCUAAAAAAAUCAGUGGGCAGGUCCUUGGGUAAGGAUUAAAAAAAAACCUUUAUAGAUAGAGGCUUGGAUUAUCAGUUUUGCUAUCUAAUUUCCCCUUAGUCUAUAGUCACUGAAGUAAUUUUGAUCUGGAUGUGAGAGGUUUUCUUCUAUGAAGAGCCAAGUUUUUCUUGUUCUGUUUGUCAGGGAGUCAUUACAGAAACUGAACACAAGGGGGAGAGAGUUUCCUUACCUAUGCAAUAGUGGCUGGGCCACCUGUUGGAACCCUCACUUCUCUUAACCUUAUAUCAAAAACAAAUUUGGUGACAAGGAUAAUGUCUCGUUUAUCAAUACAAUGUAUAUUUAUAGGAGAUAUCUUUUAACAUGUAACAUAUAUGAUUUGUCUUUACAUUGGUACUUCCAGUUUCUUUUAUUUUUCUUGCAUCAGUAAAUUUAUUGCAAGUAAGAAUUGUAUACACACACCAGGCAUGUUUUUCCACAUAAAAGCCAGCAUUGUAAUACAAAUACUUAACACUUUGGCCAUGAAACUCAAAGAUAAAAAAAACUUCUCAAGGUAUUUAUAUUAAGUAACUGAGUUCUUUAAUAUUUGUAAUCUAUGCUUAUUUAAUUAUAAUUUUGAAAAUAUAAUUAUAUUGUUCAUUAUUCAUUAUGCUUAUUGUAUAUGACAUCUUUUCUGAAAUUUUAUGUCCUUCAAAAUAUAACUUUUCAUGACUUCAAAAUAUCCAUAUGUACCUCUUAGUGAUACUAUUGUAAAACCAAAAUUGUUUUCAA